rnacentral:rRNA from 1 species
UACGGAGGGUGCGAGCGUUGUCCGGAUUUAUUGGGUUUAAAGGGUGCGUAGGCGGCUGAAUAAGUCUGGGGUGAAAGCCCGUUGCUCAACAACGGAACUGCCCUGGAUACUGUUUGGCUUGAGCACAGACGAGGUUGGCGGAAUGGGCGGUGUAGCGGUGAAAUGCAUAGAUACCGUCCAGAACCCCGAUUGCGAAGGCAGCUGACUAGGCUGUAGCUGACGCUGAGGCACGAAAGCGUGGGGAGCGAACAGG